rnacentral:siRNA from 1 species
GUGGAGCGAAAGUGCGACGGUCCAA